rnacentral:rRNA from 1 species
UACGUAGGGUGCGAGCGUUGUCCGGAAUUACUGGGCGUAAAGAGCUCGUAGGUGGUUUGUCGCGUUGUUCGUGAAAACUCACAACUCAAUUGUGGGCGUGCGGGCGAUACGGGCAGACUGGAGUACUGCAGGGGAGACUGGAAUUCCUGGUGUAGCGGUGAAAUGCGCAGAUAUCGGGAAGAACACCCGUGGCGAAGGCGGCUCUCUGGGACGGUACUGACGCUGAGACGCGAAAGCGUGGGGAGCAAACAGG